rnacentral:rRNA from 1 species
GACGAACGCUGGCGGCGUGCUUAACACAUGCAAGUCGAACGGAAAGGCCCUGCUUUUGUGGGUUGCUCGAGUGGCGAACGGGUGAGUAACACGUGAGUAACCUGCCCUUGACUUUGUGAUAACUUCAGGAAACUGGGGCUAAUACCGGAUAGGAGCUCCUGCUGCAUGGUGGGGGUUGGAAAGUUUCGGCGGUUGGGGAUGGACUCGCGGCUUAUCAGCUUGUUGGUGGGGUAGUGGCUUACCAAGGCUUUGACGGGUAGCCGGCCUGAGAGGGUGACCGGCCACAUUGGGACUGAGAUACGGCCCAGACUCCUACGGGAGGCAGCAGUGGGGAAUAUUGCACAAUGGGCGGAAGCCUGAUGCAGCAACGCCGCGUGCGGGAUGACGGCCUUCGGGUUGUAAACCGCUUUCGCCUGUGACGAAGCGUGAGUGACGGUAAUGGGUAAAGAAGCACCGGCUAACUACGUG